GACGGAGGAUGCAAGCGUUAUCCGGAAUGAUUGGGCGUAAAGCGUCCGCAGGUGGCAGUUCAAGUCUGCUGUCAAAGACCGGGGCUUAACUUCGGAAAGGCAGUGGAAACUGAACAGCUAGAGUAUGGUAGGGGCAGAGGGAAUUCCUGGUGUAGCGGUGAAAUGCGUAGAGAUCAGGAAGAACAUCGGUGGCGAAGGCGCUCUGCUGGACCAUAACCGACACUCAGGGACGAAAGCUAGGGGAGCGAAUGGG
rnacentral:rRNA from 1 species